CUGAGGGAGGUGUGGGUGUAAAGGGCUGUCUGGACCUCCCAGGGUGGUGCCCGAGGCCAAGCUCAGCGGGGAGGGCAUGAACUCAUGGCCCCCGCCCCAGGCCACUGUCCUGAGGACAAUGACCUGGGCCUUCCCUGGCUGGGCCCUGAGGGUUUACAGGGUGGAAUGGGAGGAGAGGCGGAUCCGGGCUAUUCAUAGGCGGGGGGUUUAUAGAUCUUUUCCCACCCUUUGGUGCUGUCUGGGAGAUUGAUCGGCUAAUAAGGCAUUUCUGUUCCAGUCCAGAGGGUGUGAAAAAAGGAGGCGGCCAUCAGCCGAGCCUGGGGGCGGAAGGAAACUCCGGUAAAACUAGACGUUCCCAGGACCAGCACUAGUAGCUGAGAGCCUCCUGCCAGGAUGACGGGUGGGGAUCUGGUGUCGGAGCACGGGUGCAGAGGACCUGCCGGAGCAGCCCACGCUUGGGAGCCGGGCCUGGGAAGGGCUGGUGAUAGCAACAAGACCGGCGUGUGUGCGCGCGUGUGUGCGUGUGUGCGUGUGCGCGCGCGCGCGCGCGCGCAUGCGUGAUGCAAAGCAGAACGCAGAAAUGCAGGUAAAAGCCUCUCCGGCCGCAGAUUUCCAUCUGUCCCACACAGCGCACGUGAAACUGCCCUGGUGGAGAUAAAAUGAGCCCAGGGCUUUGGCUCCUCAGCCCCCAGGACUGGGAAGAGACGGAGAACUCUCAAAAGGCUCGUCCCGCCACCUGCUCCAGCUCCCUGAGUCACUUCCGACGGCUCUGCCACUUUACGCCGCUGUCACACUGAGGGGGUGCAGGAUGCCGCGGUUUCUCUUUUCUUAAGCCUCCUUGUGCUCCUUCUGCCGGCCUGUGGCGGUGGCUCCUCUGCCGGAGCCCAGCCCAGGAGGCGUUCCUGUCUGUGGGCGGUGCGGGAGGUGCCGGAACCGCAUGUGGUUGGGCCCUGGCAGUACUGCCAAGAGCCCCGUGUUCCAGAAAGUUCUUUUCCGUUCUAACAGUCUUCCCUUGUUGCACCAGGUCUGGCAGAACAGGCCUCGGGGGCAGGAGUGUCCUAGGACUGGAGAGGAUACUCCCGGAGAUGGGAAAGGCAGAAGGAAAGGAAGCCCUCUGGGUUAAGACCUCAGCCCUCCUCAGCCUGAUGCUUCAGGCUCCACCACCCGACCGCCUGAUUUCAGUCUCCCAGGACUUGAACAUCAGGAGCUUGACGGGCCUGGCCCCGCACAGACUGACUCCACAGAUGCGCUCCGGUAAGCGCACGUCCACGGCCCCGGCUCUGUGCCCACAUGGGAGCAGAGCGCACACCGAUCUUUCCACGUGACAGACUUUCAAGAUUGGCUCGCAGGAGGAGCUUGACUUCUGUUUGGACGGCUCUGUGGUCUGAACAUCACACCCUUCAGGAGGCAGUAGUGGUACAUAGCUGUAAUAGGCUCUCUUCCCAGAGUAGCAGCAGCCUUCCUACCACCCAGUUCCAAGCAGAACUGCCAGAGCCUUCUGUGGAGAGAACCCCAGCCCAGACUUCAAGAUGCUGACAUUUGGUAAAGAAAGAGGGUUGGACAUUUUAUUUUGGAAUGUGUCUUUUCAUCAAAGAAGUGGAGAUCCAACUGGAUUUCCCGACAUCAUCUUUUCCCUGUUGAUCAAAAUGCUUUUAUCAUAUACUAAAUCCCUUUACAGAUGAAUUCAAAAAAUAAUUAUUGGGCAUCUUUGAUAUGCCUGCAACUAUUUCAGGCACCUGUAGUGGAGACAAGAAUAGACAAAAGGUGUAAGUAGAUUACCUGGUGUCUAGAAGUGGUGUGUCAGGGACAAAAGCCAAGGUAGUGCAGGGUGAGGAGUGGAGUGCGAUUGUCAAUGUCAGGGAGGCCUCAUGGAGACGGUGACCUGUGAGCAGACAAGGGAACUGGCCUGCAUGUCUAGGAGGUUCAGGACAGCCCGUUCAAAGGCCCUGAUGUUGGGGUAUACCAUGUGUGGAGUCACUGUUGGGGGCCCAUGUGGUGGUGGUGGUAGGUGGGUGAAGGAGUUGCAGAGAAAAUUAGGAGAAGUCAGAGAGUAAAAGGGGGUCCAGAUUGUGUGGGGCCUUAAAGCCAUUUUAAGAAUGUUGGGUUUUACUCAGCGUGAAGUGCGGAGCAUUUGGAAUGCCUGGAACAGCGGCAUGCCAUGUUGCACUGGAGAGAGAUCUCUGAGGCUGCUUGCAGCAAGGUGGGCAGGAGCAGGGAGGCCAGGCAGAUGACGGUGUCUAAGAGUGGAGGGCAAGAAAUGGUCAGAAUAAUCUAAUGGCUUGGAUGUGGGAGUGAGAGAGAGAAGAAUCAAGAGUAACUACAGAAUUGGGUCUCAGUCACUGGAAAGAUGGAGUUACCAUCCACUGACGUGGGAAGAUCGUGGGUUUAGGGGGAUGGCAUGGUACUGGUGGCAUCGGCUUUGCACAUGUUAAUUUGAGAUGGGCAUCCGACCUCCAGGGGAUGCCCAGUGGGUAGUGGGACGUCCAGGCCUGUGGUCCAGGAGAGGGUGUGGCCCCUCUGCACAAAGAUACUACGUGAAAGCCCAGUGCAGGGAAAGUACACAGGGCAGAGGUGCAACGAUGAAGCCUGGGAGCGCUCCCCAGGAAAAGGUCAGGGGACAAGCAGGGACCAGCUCUCCAGCUGAGGGGAAGCCCUUGAAUGUUCUGCCAGCCAAGGGAAAACUGGCAGGGGGGAAGCAGGGACUGACGGGAUUAGAGGCUGCCCAGGCCUGUGCGGGACCUGAGGACUUCUGGCUGGGUCCAUGAGGAGGGGCUCGCCACCCAGAUGGGGGUCUCUGUGUGCAGCUCCCUUGGUCCUACCACACUGCGGUCACACUGCAGCCUUAAAGCACAUGCCAGUGUUUGUUCCAUCUCUUUAUACCGCAUUACACUUUACUUUCAGAUUUUUCCUGCCUGUUCCUGAUUGCUUAUUUUUCCUUAAGAAUUUUGGAUUCAGAUUAUCUAGUUCUAUUAGGAUCCUAUGAAGUCUAAUUUACAUGUCUGAAACUGUGUUUCUCUCCAGGAUGUCUUUCCAGAAACAAACCCCCAGCUAGAGCAAUGGUUCUCCACCGGAGGGUGAGGGGGGGUUCCCCCCAGACGUUCUGGAGAGAGUCUUGUCACCGCUGGGCUGGCAGUUAGUGGGGAGAGGCCAGGGAUGCUGCUAACACCCUCCAGCGCACAUGACGCCCCACAUGGAUGCAGCUGCCCUACACUGUCAAUCGCACCACACUGGAGAAACUCGGCCUCAGGUGUCUGCGCACUGGCUCUCUGCCAAGGGCCCUUCUCUACCUCUUCUUGAUUAGUAGUCGGGCUGUUUCAUGGUACUCGACCUUCUCGAAUGCUAAAGAGUAGGUGAUACAUAUUAUGGAGUUUUUAUUCUCUCUAGCUGCCUAGGCCCUGACCCCUUCCUGUAAGUAGGAGACCACUGGUAUCCAAGGUGUCCAGUAAUGUCAUGGAAGCAAAAUAAGCCAGACACGUGCUUUUCCAGGUGCCCUUCCAGCUAACGUACAGGUUGUCAGAUGCACUGGUGCCCUAGAGUGGGGACAGGGACUGUGUCCCUGUGGGGGUGGUGGGCCUCGCACGAACAAGCCACAAAGGUUCUAUGUGGCAGGAUUUGGUGGCGACAGCAGGAGGUUCCUCACAGGUCAUUCUGAAGCCAGGUCUGGGCACUGUUAGCUGCCUGGCACCAAGUCCUGUCUGCCUGACAAUUCUGUGGGCUUUUACUUUUGAUCAGUUCCCUUUUACUUUUAACAUUGUGUCCAAUCCUGUGGCUUGCCACCAAGAAUCCCGGCUGAUAUCCAUGGAUUCGUCAUAGUGAGGGAAACACCAGAGGCCAGUGAGAUGUUCAACACUGAUUUAACUCUGCUUUUCUACAGAAAAGUUAAAUGUGAAACUUUCCACAUAAAAGAAUCCGAGUGUCCUACCCAAAACCCCAAAUACAGGAAGUUAUCAUGAUGAUUAUGUUGCGACUAGGGAAAAGGAAAGGCUGACAUUGUAGACUUCAUUACCAGUCUGUGUAUGAGGGAUAGGAUUUGGACUCACGGUAUCAAAUUGUGGAAUUGGAUUUAAGAAGAAGGCCUUACCACACACAUACUUAUUUUGCCUUGCUUUUGGUUCUUUAGGAGUAAAGUGGCUUGGUGAGGAGUAAUAA